AUUAGCGGCGGACGGGUGAGUAAUGCCUAGGAAUCUGCCUAUUAGUGGGGGACAACGUUUCGAAAGGAACGCUAAUACCGCAUACGUCCUACGGGAGAAAGCAGGGGACCUUCGGGCCUUGCGCUAAUAGAUGAGCCUAGGUCGGAUUAGCUAGUUGGUGAGGUAAUGGCUCACCAAGGCGACGAUCCGUAACUGGUCUGAGAGGAUGAUCAGUCACACUGGAACUGAGACACGGUCCAGACUCCUACGGGAGGCAGCAGUGGGGAAUAUUGGACAAUGGGCGAAAGCCUGAUCCAGCCAUGCCGCGUGUGUGAAGAAGGUCUUCGGAUUGUAAAGCACUUUAAGUUGGGAGGAAGGGCAGUAAAUUAAUACUUUGCUGUUUUGACGUUACCGACAGAAUAAGCACCGGCUAACUCUGUGCCAGCAGCCGCGGUAAUACAGAGGGUGCAAGCGUUAAUCGGAAUUACUGGGCGUAAAGCGCGCGUAGGUGGUUUGUUAAGUUGGAUGUGAAAGCCCCGGGCUCAACCUGGGAACUGCAUCCAAAACUGGCAAGCUAGAGUACGGUAGAGGGUGGUGGAAUUUCCUGUGUAGCGGUGAAAUGCGUAGAUA
rnacentral:rRNA from 1 species